UGAAUACGAGACGCUAAGGCGUCGAAGUAGUGUAUGUCAUACUUCCAAGAAAAGCUUGCACUGUCAUAGAUAAAAAACGCCUGUACCAUAACCGACACAGGUGGGUAGGUAGAGUAUACUAAGGGGCGCGAGAUAACUCUCUCUAAGGAACUCGGCAAAAUAACUCCGUAACUUCGGGAGAAGGAGUGCCUUAUUCGUAAGGUUGCAAUAACAAGAUCCAAGCAACUGUUUAUCAAAAACACAGGUCUCCGCUAAGUCGUAAGACGAUGUAUGGGGGCUGACGCCUGCCCAGUGCCAGAAGGUUAAAGAAGUUGGUUAGCAAUUGCGAAGCUGAUAACUGAAGCCCUGGUGAACGGCGGCCGUAACGAUAACGGUCCUAAGGUAGCGAAAUUCCUUGUCGGGUAAGUUCCGACCCGCACGAAAGGCGUAAUGAUUUGGAUACUGUCUCGGAGAGGGGCUCGGUGAAAUAGACUUGUCUGUGAAGAUGCGGACUACCUGCACCAGGACAGAAAGACCCUAUGAAGCUUUACUGUAACUUGAAAUUGAAAUUGGACUUUAUUCGCGCAGUAUAGGUGGGAGGCGUUGAUUAUAAUCUUGUGGGAUUAUUGGAGCCAUCAGUGAGAUACCACUCUUGUAAUGUUAGAUUUCUAACUUUGAAUCAUUAUCUGGUCAAAGAACAGUUUCAGGCGGGCAGUUUGACUGGGGCGGUCGCCUCCUAAACGGUAACGGAGGCGUACAAAGGUUUCCUCUGAACGGUUAGAAAUCGUAUCUAGAGUGUAAAGGCAUAAGGAAGCUUGACUGUGAGACCUACAAGUCGAGCAGGGACGAAAGUCGGUCUUAGUGAUCUGACGGUACUGAGUGGAAAGGCCGUCACUCAACGGAUAAAAGUUACUCUAAGGAUAACAGGCUGAUCUCCCCCAAGAGUUCACAUCGACGGGGAGGUUUGGCACCUCGAUGUCGGCUCAUCGCAUCCUGGGGCGGUAGUACGUCCCAAGGGUUGGGCUGUUCGCCCAUGAAAGCGGUACGCGAGCUGGGUUCAGAACGUCGUGAGACAGUUCGGUCCAUAUCCGGUGUAGGCGUUAGAAUAUUGAGAGGAGCCUUCUUUAGUACGAGAGGACCGAGAAGGACAUACCUCUGGUGUACCAGUUAUCGUGCCAACGGUAAACGCUGGGUAGCUAUGUAUGGAGUGGAUAACCGCUGAAAGCAUCUAAGUGGGAAGCCCACCUCAAGAUAAGUAUUCUCAUC
rnacentral:rRNA from 1 species